GACGAACGCUGGCGGCGUGCUUAACACAUGCAAGUCGAGCGGAAAGGCCACUUCGGUGGUACUCGAGCGGCGAACGGGUGAGUAACACGUGAGUAAUCUGCCCCUGGCUUUGGGAUAGCCACCGGAAACGGUGAUUAAUACCGGAUACGACCACUUCUCGCAUGGGAUGGUGGUGGAAAGUUUUUUCGGCCAGGGAUGUGCUCGCGGCCUAUCAGCUUGAUGGUGAGGUAAUGGCUCACCAUGGCUUCGACGGGUAGCCGGCCUGAGAGGGUGACCGGUCACAGUGGGACUGAGACACGGCCCAGACUCCUACGGGAGGCAGCAGUGGGGAAUAUUGAACAAUGGGCGGAAGCCUGAUCCAGCAACGCCGCGUGAGGGAUGACGGCCUUCGGGUUGUAAACCUCUUUCAGCAGGGACGGAGCGCAAGUGACGGUACCUGCAGAAGAAGCACCGGCCAACUACGUGCCAGCCGCCGCCGUAA
rnacentral:rRNA from 1 species